rnacentral:rRNA from 1 species
UACGAAGGGGGCUAGCGUUGAUCGGAAUGACUGGGCGUAAAGGGCGCGUAGGCGGACUGCACAGUCAGGCGUGAAAUUCCUGGGCUUAACCUGGGGACUGCGUCUGAGACGUGUGAUCUAGAGAGAGGAAGAGGGUCGUGGAAUUUCCGGUGUAGAGGUGAAAUUCGUAGAGAUUGGAAAGAACACCGGUGGCGAAGGCGGCGACCUGGUCCUUGACUGACGCUGAGGCGCGAAAGAGUGGGGAGCAAACAGG